AUCGCUUCUCGGCCUUUUGGCUAAGAUCAAGUGUAGUAGGUGACAUUUUUGUCGGCAAUUUUCAGCUCAAUCAAUCGAUUUAUUUACCACACAACAUUACAUUACUCUUCGUAUUAGUGUUUUUUCU